rnacentral:lncRNA from 1 species
UUCAGAGGAGGGAUAUUUAUAGUUCAGAAGGGAAAAAUAUUUACAUGAGAAAUGAGGAUUUCAUUUAAAUUACACAUUAAAUAAUAAAAUAUUUCAUAUUAAAUAUUAGUUCUAUUUCAACACAAAAUCGUAUCAUCAGUUUCUAGGUGAGUUUAAGCACAAUUUCUCCAAGACCUGGAGCACAAACUCAACAUACAGUUUUCAGGUGGACACCAAUAAAACAUUCUGAAUAGACAGGAGGACACAUCAAAUUCCUGUUACUGCUCCACGUUAGAUGCUCUGCUGAGCUAUCCCCCAUCAUGUGGUCUCUAUCAUCCCUUAGGGAAAGGAGCCCCAUGGCAUUAUCUUCAUCAUCCUUAAGGAGCCUCCAUCUCAUAACCUCCAUCAUCCCUGAGGGAAAGGAACCUGCACAGCCCCGUUCCUCAAGGGCAGCCCAUGGACUUUCUGCUUGAAGGUAUUGACUCUCAAGCGACCCCUUUCCUCCUCUGAUGUGAAAUACCAACACACUGCUUGGUGAGGAUGAUGCUGCAACAUCUCCCAACUCCCAUGCUCUUUCCCUAAUGCUCUUCAAGCCCAUGGUCUGGUUCCAUGCAAAAGCCCAUGGAAGGAAGGGAAGGGUCCCCAGUGCAGCCCCUGAUGAAGACAACCUCGGGGCUUGGCUGGGAUGCUCGGUGGGGCGUAUAAAGGAUGCACCAAGUGGCACAAGCAGCUCUGAGGUUGGGAAGGAGGAAGCGGAAGAAGAGCACAAGGAACACAAACACCUUUCGUUGGGAUCUGGAUGGAUAUAAGGCACUCGGAACAACAGUGGGGUAUUGGGAAAUGAUCAUUGGGAUCCUUCGGUGCAUCAUGUUCUCCUUCCCUUUUUCCUGCCUGUCUGGAGAUGAAACAUGACUUGGCUGCAAAGCUGUAAUGAGAAGAAAUGACUGUGAAUUAAACCAAAGGCACCCGGUGUUUUUCGAGCUGGAAUUCUUAUUGCUGAUCAUUGGCUUGCCCUAGAAGCUGACUGCUCCUUCCAGGGCACUCGCUCAUCAGCUGGAUUGCCAAGAGGGUGAGCUCC